UUCAACUCUCAAUAUCUGCUUAGUUCAUGUUCAAAUAUUGUAUAUUUUUACGUCCAUGGUAAUUAUAUAGAUCCCGCAUUUAAUCGACAUCUUUUAUGGUUUAAAACGAGUAGGAAAUUUAAUUUAAACAAAUGUAAUCAAGUCCAAAAAGAAAAAUUGAACAUGAUCAUUAAAAAUAUGCACAGGGUAACUUAACCUCACUGAAUUUCAAUGAAUUGCAGAGAAUUUGCAAUAUCUGCAACGAUGUUAAAAUUUGUUUUAUGCACUGCACAAAAGUAGUUUCAGGAGCACCUUUAAGGGUCACAACACAAAAUGAAGUGAGGCAAUUUUCGACGCUGCAUAUUCAUAUUGAACAAUAAAACUUAAAUAUAAUUAUAUCAAAGAAUGUAAAUGUACGUAUCACAGCGAUGCAUUCAUGCAUUUUGGAAUAAAUAAUGUUAAAUAUUUUUUAAAUAAAGCCUCAAAAGAACCCGAUGUUUUAGGCACUAGGUGGGAGUACGCAUGUGUCAAAAUUUGUACAAACGACUGACUUAGAUUAAAAUACGAAGGCACUGACAAAUGUAUUCAUCAUUUUAUCGCCAUGGCUUACGAACAGUUCCCGCACUGGUACUGCGUUUUAUGCCCUGAUCUGUAAGGCACAAUUAUAUUUUGAUGAAAUUCUAAUGGUGCAUGCUAAAUUUCUCAUUACAUUGGUCUAGUCAAUUGUUAGUAAAUGAUAUUUGGAACAGAAACGUGCAAUUAACACUAUAAAAUUACAUUAGAAAUAAUUUGCAUGCUUAGGUAAAUAUAAGUUUUUCUAAUGUUCAAUAUUAAAAGUUAAAUAUAUAUACAAAAUAUGUACUAAUGUUAUUAUUAUAAUGAUCAACAUUAAAAAGCAUUACUUACACAAAA